rnacentral:tRNA from 1 species
GCGGGAUUAGCUCAGUCAUGGUUAGAGCAGUCGUCUUAUAAGCGAUGCUUGUCCUGGGUUCGAAUCCCAGAUCCCGCA